rnacentral:rRNA from 1 species
CGGCACGGGUGAGUAACGUGUAUCCAACCUGCCGUCUACUCUUGGACAGCCUUCUGAAAGGAAGAUUAAUACAAGAUGGCAUCAUGAGUCCGCAUGUUCACAUGAUUAAAGGUAUUCCGGUAGACGAUGGGGAUGCGUUCCAUUAGAUAGUAGGCGGGGUAACGGCCCACCUAGUCUUCGAUGGAUAGGGGUUCUGAGAGGAAGGUCCCCCACAUUGGAACUGAGACACGGUCCAA